rnacentral:lncRNA from 12 species
GUCCAGUGGCACAGCUGGAUCCAGGAGUGCAUAUCUGUCCAGGGCUCCCCAUCCCUGAGGUGCCUCUCGAGACUCAGCCUUGGACAACUUUUAUAUUGGACAAACUCUUGGACUUCAGCCCUAGGUUUGCAUCUGAGAUGCAGAUGUGCUGGCUCCAAGCAGCUGCCUGCUGCCCUGGAUUUGUUGGAGGAGGUUCAGAUGGAGCAGCAUGGAGCCCUAGGGCCCAGUGUACCCCACCUGUAUUACCCAGGCUGGAACAACACAGUUAUUUGUACUGAAAUCAGCAGUAAGGUUUUCAUCCACUCUCACUACACCAAAUCAAGACCCUUGGAUGGCACCGAGCCGAAACAUGAUUAAUGGUUUUCCAUGCACAAGCCAAA